AUUGAACGCUGGCGGCAGGCCUAACACAUGCAAGUCGAGCGAGCGGCGGACGGGUGAGUAAUGUCUGGGAAACUGCCUGAUGGAGGGGGAUAACUACUGGAAACGAUAGCUAAUACCGCAUACCAUCAGAUGUGCCCAGAUGGGAUUAGCUAGUAGGUUGGGGAACGGCCCACCUAGGCGACGAUCCCUAGCUGGUCUGGGAGGAUGACCAGCCACACUGGAACUGAGACACGGUCCAGACUCCUACGGGAGGCAGCAGUGGGGAAGAUGGCGCAAUGGGGGCAACCCUGACGCAGCCAUGCCGCGUGAAUGAAGAAGGCCUUCGGGUUGUAAAGUUCUUUCGGUGACGAGGCGUUAAUCACAGAAGAAGCACCGGCUAACUCCGUGCCAGCAGCCGCGGUAAUUC
rnacentral:rRNA from 1 species